rnacentral:tRNA from 1 species
UGGUGUAGCUCAGCCGGUAGAGCGACUGACUUGUAAUCAGUAGGUCGGGGGUUCGAUUCCGUCCACC